GAUGAAGAACGUAGCGAAAUGCGAUAAGUAGUGUGAAUUGCAGAAUUCCGUGAAUCAUCGAAUCUUUGAACGCACAUUGCGCCCUCUGGUAUUCCGGGGGGCAUGCCUGUUCGAGCGUCAUUUCAACCCCUCAAGCACAGCUUGUGUGUUGGGCUCUCGUCCCCCGUGGACGGGCCUGAAAUGCAGUGGCAGCACCGAGAUACCGGUGUCUGAGUGUAUGGGCAUUGAUCAUCACUCGAUAGACCCGAUCGGCGCUGACCGUCAAACCACGAUUCCUCGGAAUCAUCCAGUUUUGACCUCGGAUCAGGUAGGAAUACCCGCUGAACUUAAGCAUAUCAAUAAGCGGAGGA
rnacentral:misc_RNA from 1 species